GACGAACGCUGGCGGCGUGCCUAAUACAUGCAAGUCGAACGCUGAAGCUUGGUGCUUGCACCGAGCGGAUGAGUUGCGAACGGGUGAGUAACGCGUAGGUAACCUGCCUGGUAGCGGGGGAUAACUAUUGGAAACGAUAGCUAAUACCGCAUAAGAGUAGAUGUUGCAUGACCUUUGCUUAAAAGGUGCAAUUGCAUCACUACCAGAUGGACCUGCGUUGUAUUAGCUAGUUGGUGAGGUAACGGCUCACCAAGGCAACGAUACAUAGCCGACCUGAGAGGGUGAUCGGCCACACUGGGACUGAGACACGGCCCAGACUCCUACGGGAGGCAGCAGUAGGGAAUCUUCGGCAAUGGACGGAAGUCUGACCGAGCAACGCCGCGUGAGUGAAGAAGGUUUUCGGAUCGUAAAGCUCUGUUGUAAGAGAAGAACGAGUGUGAGAGUGGAAAGUUCACACUGUGACGGUAUCUGACCAGAAAGGGACGGCUAACUACGUG
rnacentral:rRNA from 1 species